AGAGAACCUGGAGUCCCUCCAAAAGGUGCCCCAUUGAUUCAAAAGCCAGACACUUCUUUGUCAACAAAGGCAUCCCACGGCGAAAAGUCUGGAGGAUAAAUUGCACUUGGCUCAUCGUCGUGUAAUCAGAAAUUCAUUCAUGUGAGGAAAAAGCAGUUAAAACUUAUGGAAAAAUGCCAAAGAAAGCGGCUGUCUGACUGAUUGCUUUUUGGCAGAGACUGAGAUCAAGAUUUACCAAGGAAAGCCCACGUAUAUGACCCAAGAGGAAGUUACAGAGCUCAAGAGCAUUACUAAGCCUGGAAACUGGAAUUUCAGUUGCAAGGUAUCAGGUGGCUCUUUCAAAUGAAUUUUUAAGUAUCUCAGUGAUGAUGAAGAAGAACAGAGACAUCAAUUAGGAUUCAGGAAGACAAGUCUUUGCAGAAAAUGCUUAGAGCAUCAAGGAUUGCUAUUAAUAUUUGAAAGUUUAAAAGAGGGUAUACUUUUCUUUAGUCAACAAAUGACAAAAGUAAAGGCACUAUUUUCAUUGUUCCUGGAAGAAACUGGGCAGUAUUCCAUUCAGACAUCUGCCCUGUGAUCGUCCCGUUUUCCUCUUUA